rnacentral:rRNA from 1 species
CAAGGGCGGUAGUGACUGAGCCCAUACUUCCAAGAAAAGCCUCUAGUUAGACCUGCGUGACCGUACCGCAAACCGACACAGGUGGAUGGGUAGAGAAUACCAAGGGGAUCGGGAGAAUCUCUGUUAAGGAAUUAGGCAAAUUAGAUCCGUAACUUCGGGAAAAGGAUCGCCCCAUUAGCGUGACGACGACAAGCUUGUCUGAGCGUGAAAGGGCCGCAGAGAAAUGGCUCUAGCGACUGGUUACCAGAACCACAGGUCUGUGCUAAGUCGAAAGACGACGUAUACGGGCUGACGCCUGCCCAGUGCCGGAAGGUUAAGGGGAGCGGUGCAAGCUGCGAACUGAAGCCCCGGUGAACGGCGGCCGUAACUAUAACGGUCCUAAGGUAGCGAAAUUCCUUGUCGGGUAAGUUCCGACCCGCACGAAUGGCGUAACGACUGGAGCACUGUCUCAACAGAGAACCCGGUGAAACUGAAUUAGGAGUGAAGAUGCUUCUUACCCGCAGCUGGACAAAAAGACCCCGUGGAGCUUUACUGUAGCUUGACAUUGGGUUAGAACUUAGGUUGUGUAGGAUAGGUGGGAGACUGUGAAGCUGGGCCGCCAGGCUCGGUGGAGUCGUCGGUGAAAUACCACUCUGCUUAAGUUUUGGCUCUAACCUUUGCCGUAAUCCGGUGAGGAAACAGUGUCAGGUGGGCAGUUUGACUGGGGCGGUCGCCUCCUAAAGAGUAACGGAGGCGCGCAAAGGUUCCCUCAGGCUGAAUGGAAACCAGUCGUAGAGUGCAAACGCAUAAGGGAGCUUGACUGCGAGACGGACAGGUCGAGCAGAGACGAAAGUCGGCGUUAGUGAUCCUAUGGCACCGAGUGGAAGGGCCAUGGCUCAACGGAUAAAAGCUACCCCGGGGAUAACAGGCUAGUCUUCCCCAAGAGUUCACAUCGACGGGGAGGUUCGGCACCUCGAUGUCGGCUCGUCACAUCCUGGGGCUGGAGUAGGUCCCAAGGGUUGGGCUGUUCGCCCAUUAAAGUGGUACCGAGCUGGGUUCAGACCGUCGUGAGACAGGUCGGUCUCUAUCCGCUGUGGGCGUAAGGGAAUUGAGGAGAGCUGCCCCUAGUACGAGAGGACCGGGGUGGACGGAUCUCUGGUGUGCCAGUUGUGCUGCCAAGUGCAUGGCUGGGUAGCUAAGUCCGGAAUGGAUAACCGCUGAAAGCAUCUAAGUGGGAAGCCAGCUCCAAGAUAAGUUCCCUCACAGGGUUAACCUGGUAAGUGCGCAGGAAGACCACCUGCUUGAUAGGCGGCAAGUGUACAGGCUGAGAGGCCUUUAGCUAAGCCGUACUAAUGCACGAGGGCUUAAAACA